rnacentral:rRNA from 2 species
GGGUUGUGAGGUUAAGCGACUAAGCGUACACGGUGGAUGCCCUGGCAGUCAGAGGCGAUGAAGGGCGUGCUAAUCUGCGAUAAGCGCCGGUAAGGUGAUAUGAACCGUUAUAACCGGCGAUACCCGAAUGGGGAAACCCAGUGUGAUUCGUCACACUAUCAUUAACUGAAUCCAUAGGUUAAUGAGGCGAACCGGGGGAACUGAAACAUCUAAGUACCCCGAGGAAAAGAAAUCAACCGAGAUUCCCCCAGUAGCGGCGAGCGAACGGGGAGGAGCCCAGAGCCUGAAUCAGCAUGUGUGUUAGUGGAAGCGUCUGGAAAGGCGCGCGAUACAGGGUGACAGCCCCGUACACAAAAGCGCAUGUGCUGUGAGCUCGAUGAGUAGGGCGGGACACGUGGUAUCCUGUCUGAAUAUGGGGGGACCAUCCUCCAAGGCUAAAUACUCCUGACUGACCGAUAGUGAACCAGUACCGUGAGGGAAAGGCGAAAAGAACCCCGGCGAGGGGAGUGAAAAAGAACCUGAAACCGUGUACGUACAA